UUGAUACAAUAAUACUUCGUUUCUUUCUUUCUGCCAUCUUCUUCUUAUUCUUCUUGUUUUGGCUUGACAACUUCUUUGAUACAUUACUGCUUUUUCUGAUACAUAUUAUAUUGCCGGUGACAUUCUUUAUUAGGGUUUCAGUUGUGGUAUGUCUGCAUAAAACGUGAAUUAUGUGUUUGGAUUUUAACUUCUGUUUUUAAUCUUUUCAUUCUGUUGGCUUUAUGGAUGAUAUUGUUGGUGUAAUCUUCAAUACCCAUCUUUAGUUCUAUCUAAUGUGCUAAAAUUGACAGUUAUUGAUAUUAGUAUUGCAUCUCAAAAUUGUUGUGUUUUUUGUUUUCCUGUUCAUCUUUAUAGUGCAUUGUCAUGGUAGUAUACAGAGUUACAUGGAUUACAUUUUAAAAGGUUUCUAUAUGGAGCUCAACUGUGGUUGUAUAUUGGUCUUUUAUUUUCCUGUCAAUCUUGACCAACAGAUCAAGGUAACCGCUUCCUCUUCUCAAAUUUUUGUUGUGUAGGGUAUUAUAUUGGAUGUUAACUGAGCACUUAGGCAGAAAGCUUGAAACAAUGAGCCAUGAAAGAGUAUUACCAUUGACCACCACUUCAGUAGUUCCUUACAUGGAGUUUGUCACAACUCUAUAGUUUUAGUGAGUGAGUUUCACUUGUAGCUCAUGCAACUCAAUAUGCAUACAUCAACACAACAACACCAAGCCUUGAUCUUACUAUGAGAUUGCGUACAUGAACUCUGGCUGAUAGCAUGAUUUAAGAUGUGGCCAAAGCACUUGCUUAUACACGGUGAAUUAUUAGUUGCAAAUAAGUGUGUUGAGUUGCUACCACAUCUGAAUCCAUGAAGUGGGGCAAUAAUUAGUAGAUAAACCAACCCCUAACUUUGUAUUUUUAAGUGCCUUCUCUUCUUCACCACAUUAGCCUCGUGAAUCGUGAUUUGACUUGUGAACAGCAGUCUAUCCUAUUGUCAAGGAACUCACGCUUGCUCACCAGUCACCCCUUCGAGCUGCUAUUGCUCAAGCAAUAGUCACAGCCCAGUGAAGGACAAUUAUUCCAACUCAAGCCCUGCCUAAUGGUUACACUCCUGUGGAUAGUCAAGGGAUGGUUGAGAAGCCCUGGCAACCUAUUGCAUCAUUGCCAUUCAAUGAGAGUACUUCUCAUCUCCAUGACUUCAGUAGGACCUGGCUGUGGCGGGGCCUUGGGGUGUUGUCAAUAGGACUAUGAGAAGAAUGCUAUGAUUUCAGGAUCUUUAGGGUUUUGGCCUCCCUGCUAGAGGGAGUUGUCUUGACUACCAAUGGAGGGAGAGGCAUUCACCUGUGGAGUAAGCCAUCUAAUUAGGACCAAAAUUAUGUUGCACAACUAACUAGUAAUCAUGAACCCUCUACAAUAGGCACCCACGUCACUUUUACCUCUCCCAGAUGCAUGAAGUCACCCUGGGGAGACAAGGGCCAAACCAAUGAUUGAUAUCUCUCCAAGACUAAUAUGAGGAAGUGAUCUAAAUUGUUUGCAGGAAGGAGGGGUUCGUACACUAUAAAAGGUUUUUAAUCUCCUUUUUUGAAAAACACUGCCUCUCUCUAUUCAUUGACAGCCUGAAUCCCCACUCUCCUUCCUCCUCCUCCAGCUCAAUCUCCUCUGGUGAUUCUUAUGGCUUCCCAGAUUUCAACAGAUUGCAUGUAGGCAACCUCUGAAAGUGUUGGAAGGAAGGAAGGAGGGUUCUGAUUUGUUUUUGACCUUUUGGUUAAUAAACAGGUUUGAUUGAAGCCAUUUUUUAUUGUGAACUCUACAAAUAUAUGAGAAUUCAAGUGUACUAAUCCUUUAAAAGAAGUUCUGGAAUGAAUUUAUGUGGCUUUAAGCUUUCUGGAAGGGCUAGCCUCUGGAGUUAUAGAGGAUUAAUUGGUGGCUUGGAAUUAUUGGGGGAGAGAAGAGAAUCAAUCUUUGAAGUUCAGUUCAGUUUCAGAGUAGUUAGAAUCCUGAAAGAUGGUUGUUAUGGUCACUCCUGAUUAUUUUCUUAUGAAAUAUCCUAGUUACUUUUUCAAAAAGAUAUAACUGCAUUUUUCUGUCACAUAUUUUUAGAAAAUAGCUAUAGAUUGAUUUAUCUUCUUGGAGAAGUGUGAAACUAUUAGGAACAAUGUGGCAUCUGGACAAACAGAGUGCAUAAAAAAGUUGAGAGAAACUUAAAAUUAAAGAUUCCAGAGAUCAAAAUCACUAGAAAGAUUAACUUGCUGGCCGUAUAAAUAUUCUUGAUGUGGAACUUGGUGCAUAGAAGUAAUACUUCCUAGAGCUGUUGUUUUGGUUUGGCAUACCAUGUUGUAUUGAUGCAUAUGUCCUAAUUUUUUAGUUGAUUUGGAAUAAAUAAACAUAUGGCCAUGGAAACAGGUCUGAUGAUCAAUACAGAAUAUGAAAUAUAGUGUAAAUUAACAAUUUAGAAUCUAAAAACAUAAGAUACAAUAAAGUGGAAACCAAUAAUUUGUCUUCCUGCCUUACAAAAGGAUAGGACCAUGGGUAAAGCUGAUAGAUCUAGAAUUCAUGUAGUGUUCCCCACUUGAUGGGUUCAAGGGUUGUGAUUGUUGUUGAUACAUUCCUUUCUUAAUAUCUAAAUGUAAAAUGUGAUUUUUUCUUUUUACUAGGAUGUAAUAGAAAUGUAUUGUAGUGAAAAUAUAGUUGGUCUUUUAAUGUGUGCUCAUAUAUGCAUGCAUGCACAUAUAUAUAUA